CACAAAUCAUCCUCAUCACUUUGCCUCUUCUCAUCUUACCUUCACAGCACACCAACGUCCAAUGGUCCAGCCAAGGGAUCUUUUGAUUUCCUCUCCAACCGAGACAGUGCCUUUCACUCUCACUCACUGCCUCUGCUUCUCGCCUUUUCUAUGCCUUUGCUUCGG